UGGAAACACAGAAAAAAAAAAGAAGCUGAACCGUCAAAACAUAAACAGAGCAGUCAACCUUGUGUGGACGCAGCAAGCUUGCUUUAAAUAGUCUCUCUUUUACAAAGACCCUUUAUGUACGCAUUCCUAAUGUCGUGUAUUAACCGCCAGAGAAUUCCUAGUCAAGGCACUUAGCUCACUUGCUAAGCAGUGAGGUGGAGAAAAUAAAUCUGCAAUAAAGAUUAGGACUAAACUAAGAAGUACGCCUCGUCGGGCCUUCGAGUAGAGGUUGUACCUCGGGUCGACGCAGGACAAAGGAGACAGAAUGGCUGAGGCUGACUGCAAAUCCACUGCGCUUAACGGUGGCUCUGAA